GGAAAAGGCCAUAGCUCAGUGGUACAGUAUCUGCUUUGCAGACAGAAGGUCCUAGGUUCAGUCCCUGACACUUCCA